rnacentral:rRNA from 1 species
AGGGAAUAUUGCAAAAUGGGCGAAAGCCCGAUGCAGCAACGCCGCGUGGGCGAUGAAGGCCUUCGGGUCGUAAAGCCCUUUUUGAGGGGAUGAGGAAGGACAGUACCCUCAGAAUAAGCCUCGGCUAACUACGUGCCAGCAGCCGCGGUAAAACGUAGGAGGCGAGCGUUAUCCGGAUUUACUGGGCGUAAAGCGCGUGCAGGCAGAUUGGAGAGUUGGAUGUGAAAGCUCCCGGCUUAACUGGGAGAGGUCGUUCAAUACUUCCAGUCUUGAGUGCAGUAGAGGGAAGUGGAAUUCCGGGUGUAGUGGUGAAAUGCGUAGAUAUCCGGAGGAACACCAGUGGCGAAAGCGGCUUCCUGGACUGUAACUGACGCUCAGACGCGAAAGCUAGGGUAGCAAACG